GGCCCCUUCCGCAGGCUGCUCGUGCGCGCCGGCUGGGCUGGAAAGCGGGACACGACCCCUCCGCGGCCUGCCCGGUUCUGCGGGUGAUCUCCGCCGAGGCGAGGGGGUUUCCCCAGCGCAAAUGGGUGGUAGACACAGUAGUUAGGAAGGCUACAGGAAAGAGAUUAUGAGAACGCUGGGAACCCAAUGAACACUCCUUUCCUCAUUCCCUCGCCUUCAAGUUGAAAAGAGCCCCAGUGCAUAGUUGUAUAUCCUGGUUGUAUGUCCUUCUAGUUCGUCUGUGUGGAAC